rnacentral:rRNA from 1 species
CCUACGGGAGGCAGCAGUGGGGGAUAUUGCACAAUGGGGGGAACCCUGAUGCAGCGACGCCGCGUGGGUGAAGAAGCGCCUCGGCGCGUAAAGCCCUGUCAGCAGGGAAGAAAAUGACGGUACCUGAAGAAGAAGCCCCGGCUGACUACGUGCCAGCAGCCGCGGUAAUACGUAGGGGGCAAGCGUUAUCCGGAUUUACUGGGUGUAAAGGGGGCGCAGACGGCGAUGCAAGCCAGGAGUGAAAGCCCGGGGCCCAACCCCGGGACUGCUCUUGGAACUGCGUGGCUGGAGGGCAGGAGGGGCAGGCGGAAUUCCUGGUGUAGCGGUGAAAUGCGUAGAUAGCAGGAGGAACACCGGUGGCGAAGGCGGCCUGCUGGACUGCAACUGACGUUGAGGCACGAAAGCGUGGGGAUCGAACAGGAUUAGAUACCCGAGUAGUC